CUCAUAAAAUAUGAUUUGUAUUUUUAGUAUAAGAAAGCUCACCUCGUAUGCUUCCCAAUAUUUUUUAAAAUAAUUCCCCGCUCCACAAUUUUUACCUUUCUCUCAAUUCUCCCUUUUUGAGCACAAAAUGCAAGCUAAAUUUAGCUUCAAGAAUAUACAAUAAUUUGAUGACAUGCAUACUAUUUUAUCUGCUUGUUCUUUAAGCCUCACUCUUUAAUUAAUUUGGCACCGUUCGUUUACUAAAUCAAUUUCAGAUAUUUAAACUUAAUUUCACUAAUAGAAGAAUCAAUUACUAAUUUAAUUAAUAUACAAAAAUAUUAGUUGAACUCAACGCAGGCUAAAAAAAUUGCUAACAUCUCUUCCGUAAAGAGUUAUUUUGAAAGAGGCCAAGAUUUCUUUCUCAAAUUUCUCAAAUUGUAGUCUAAUUAAUUAGAUUUUCGGAAAUGUGACUUCUGGGAUUAUUUCACUACAACCCAACUUAUUCCCUAAAUAUUUUACUACCUCAUGGCCCAAAAUAAUUAAUUCUAGCCCACUGUAAAUUCCAUGGAGCUAGCCCACGAGCACCAAAUUAAAAUUUUACCCAAUUCUCAUUAAAUAAGUGGCCCAACUAUUAAAAAAAGAGCCCCAAUCCUAGGAUUAAAAUCAUCCCACAUGAAAUAUCAUUAGCCCACUCUAAUAAAUAAGUGGCCCAACAAACAAAUAAUUUAGGGAAGAAAAACAGCCCCCAAUUCCAGGAUUUAUUAAUCCAUGUACUCCACCUACCCACCGUUAGUUUCUCUCUCUAUCAACCUAUUCAAUCUCCUUCUCCAAUUUCACAAAUUAGGAAGAAUCUCUCUUCCCAAUUCGAGUUUCCGUCGACCAGCCACCCCACUGGCGCCGCCUCUACCUCCGUCUCCGGCGGUGUUCCCUUCCUCCUCCUCCUCAUCUCUCUCUCUCUCCCUUCUAUCCUUCUCUCUCUUUUCUCCCUCUUCACCGUAGCGCCGCCACCGCCGCUGCUGUACGCGCGGCGGCCCGCCGUCGCGGCCCUCCACCUCUCUCUCUCUCUCUCUCGGUAUUCGCCGCCAUCUCCGAUUGCCGCUGCCACGCACCGCCUCAGUCCUCUCUCUUUCUCCAUCCAUCCGUCUCUCUCCUCUCUCCCUCUUUCUUUUCUUUCUCCUCUAUCUCUCCCCCUCUCGGAUCUACUCAUACCGCCACUGCCGCUGCUGUGCGCGCGCAGCGGCUGACCGUCGUUGCUUGCAUGCACAGGCAGUGGCUUCGCCGCCUCUCCUCCGCGCCUCGCCAUUCUCCGACAGGUGAGAUUCGUCAAGGCUGCGAUUUUAGUGAUGGAUUUGGGGGGUGGGGGCUGUCACCGUCGAGUCCAGGCUGCCGAAGAGCACAGAAUCGUACUCACGAGAUAAGUUUUUCUCCUUCUUUCUAGUUAUUAAGGCAGUAGGAUUCUACUUGGUUUCUAUUUGCUGAAUUUUGUGAAUUAUGAGUAUAUGCCUUGCUAUAUGGAUGAUUUAAUGGUAAAAUACACUAUAUUGUUAACUUGGGGGUGGGCAGAUUCUAUUUCCAAAUAUAUGCAGGCUUACAUAUAUAAAUGAAAGGAAAUGUUUGUUGUUUACCUUGUUGAUGCAGAAAGUAAAGUGUUGGGUUGUCGUUUUUGAGUUGUGCAAUCUCCCUCGGACUCCUCUAUCUUUUGUGAGUUGGUGUGUGCAGAGAAAAUAGACUGUGUGGUGAUGAUGUGGGGGUGAAUAAAAGAAAUUGAUUGUAUCUCUAGAUGCUACUCACCAAGGCAGUGAAAGUGAUAUGCAUACUCAGCAAGUUGCCUACCUAUUCUUAUCUAAAAUUAUUCUCCUUCGUCAGGAAGGGAUAUGAUUUGCAUGCACUAAUUAAAUGCAGCAUUUAAUGCUGUGCCUGAAAAAAAAAUCGAUCCUCUCCCUCUUUUUUUUUAAUUUUAUUUUUUUUAUUAAAGUAAUGGUUUUAGUAUUUGUUCACUUGCUCAUUUAAUUUGGAGUAGGUAUGAUCGGUUCAAGUUUGUAGCUGUCCGCGUUGAAGUUUUCGAUUUUUCUUAGAACGCAGGAUGUAUAGAUUAAAUUUUGUUUGACUUUUGUUGGAUGUAUCGGACAUUAAAAUUUUGAUUGUGGAA